rnacentral:rRNA from 1 species
AUUGAACGCUGGCGGCAUGCCUUACACAUGCAAGUCGAACGGCAGCGCGGACUUCGGUCUGGCGGCGAGUGGCGAACGGGUGAGUAAUACAUCGGAACGUACCCUGUUGUGGGGGAUAACUAGUCGAAAGAUUAGCUAAUACCGCAUACGACCUGAGGGUGAAAGUGGGGGAUCGCAAGGCCUCACGCAGCAGGAGCGGCCGAUGUCUGAUUAGCUAGUUGGUGGGGUAAAGGCGCACCAAGGCGACGAUCAGUAGCUGGUCUGAGAGGACGAUCAGCCACACUGGGACUGAGACACGGCCCAGACUCCUACGGGAGGCAGCAGUGGGGAAUUUUGGACAAUGGGGGCAACCCUGAUCCAGCAAUGCCGCGUGUGUGAAGAAGGCCUUCGGGUUGUAAAGCACUUUUGUCCGGAAAGAAAUCGCGCUGGUUAAUACCUGGCGUGGAUGACGGUACCGGAAGAAUAAGCACCGGCUAACUACGUG